rnacentral:rRNA from 1 species
GACGAACGCUGGCGGCGUGCCUAAUACAUGCAAGUAGAACGCUGAAGAGAGGAGCUUACUCUUCUUGGAUGAGUUGCGAACGGGUGAGUAACGCGUAGGUAACCUGCCUUGUAGCGGGGGAUCACUAUUGGAAACGAUAGCUAAUACCGCAUAACAAUGGAUGACACAUGUCAUUUAUUUGAAAGGGGCAAUUGCUCCACUACAAGAUGGACCUGCGUUGUAUUAGCUAGUAGGUGAGGUAAUGGCUCACCUAGGCGACGAUACAUAGCCGACCUGAGAGGGUGAGCGGCCACACUGGGACUGAGACACGGCCCAGACUCCUACGGGAGGCAGCAGUAGGGAAUCUUCGGCAAUGGGGGCAAACCUGACCGAGCAACGCCGCGUGAGUGAAGAAGGUUUUCGGAUCGUAAAGCUCUGUUGUAAGUCAAGAACGGGUGUGAGAGUGGAAAGUUCACACUGUGACGGCAGCUUACCAGAAAGGGACGGCUAACUACGUG